rnacentral:sRNA from 1 species
UGACCCAGCUUCGGAGAAUCAUAAUUUAGAUAUUCGUCCAUUAUAAUGCAGAAAGGAAAUUGGAGAAUCAUCAAGUCCAUGCCAUCAGUCAGAUAUUAUCAUCGGUCUAUAAAUAUUUGAAAUAUGUCAUCAGUUCUGCUGUGCGCGCAAAGAAUCAGUGACUUAAACUGAUCUGCAUAUACCAAGAAAAAUAAUCAUCAAUGCACUUGUAGGAUCCAAAUAAAGAAAAAAAGAAAGAAAGUAAGAAGAAGAAAAGAAGAAAAAAGAAAUCAAAAAAAUAGAAAUUCUCCCCUUCUAAUUUAAUGCGAAAAGCAAGGGCAAGUUGCAUCACAACAAAAAAAAAGAAAGACAAAAACUCUAGUUUGCCCCCGCGCGGGAUUGAACCGCGGACCUCAUGAUCUCAUCAGU